rnacentral:rRNA from 1 species
UACAGAGGAUGCAAGCGUUGUUCGGAAUUACUGGGCGUAAAGCGUGCGUAGGUGGUCUCAUGUGUCUGGUGUGAAAGCCCUUGGCUCAACCAAGGAAGUGCGCCGGAAACUGUGAGACUUGAGUGUAGGAGAGGAUAGUAGAAUUCUCAGUGUAGAGGUGAAAUUCGUAGAUACUGGGAGGAACACCGGUGGCGAAGGCGACUAUCUGGACUAUAACUGACACUGAUGUACGAAAGCGUGGGUAGCAAACAGG